rnacentral:rRNA from 1 species
GUGGGGAAUAUUGGACAAUGGGCGAAAGCCUGAUCCAGCCAUGCCGCGUGUGUGAAGAAGGUCUUCGGAUUGUAAAGCACUUUAAGUUGGGAGGAAGGGCAGUAAGUUAAUACCUUGCUGUUUUGACGUUACCGACAGAAUGAGCACCGGCUAACUUCGUGCCAGCAGCCGCGGUAAUACGAAGGGUGCAAGCGUUAAUCGGAAUUACUGGGCGUAAAGCGCGCGUAGGUGGUUUUGUAAGUUGGAGGUGAAAUCCCCGGGCUCAACCUGGGAACUGCCUCCAAAACUGCAUGACUAGAGUACGGUAGAGGGUAGUGGAAUUUCCUGUGUAGCGGUGAAAUGCGUAGAUAUAGGAAGGAACACCAGUGGCGAAGGCGACUACCUGGACUGAUACUGACACUGAGGUGCGAAAGCGUGGGGAGCAAACAGGAUUAGAAACCCUGGUAGUCC